AGCAGCCGCGGUAAUUCCAGCUCCAAUAGCGUAUAUUAAAGUUGUUGCAGUUAAAAGCUCGUAGUUGAAUCUCGGGACCAAUUUGUUGGUCGUGCCUCGGUACGUACUGGUAUUAUUGGUUUCUCCCUUCUGAAGAACCUCGAUGCCAUUAAUUUGGUGUCGUGGGGAAUCAGGACUGUUACUUUGAAAAAUUAGAGUGUUUAAAGCAAGCAUACGCUUGAAUACAUUAGCAUGGAAUAAUGAAAUAGGACGUUUGAUUCUAUUUUGUUGGUUCUAGGAUCGACGUAAUGAUUAAUAGGGAUAGUUGGGGGACAUUAGUAUUCAAUUGUCAGAGGUGAAAUUCUUGGAUUUAUUGAAGUACUAACUACUGACGAAAGCAUUUGCCAAGGAUGUUUU
rnacentral:rRNA from 1 species